rnacentral:lncRNA from 1 species
AUUCUACAAGAAAACAUGACCAACUUAUGAUUGAAAGCAUAGCACUGGGGACUAACCAAGAUGCAGAGAAUAACAAUGAAAAAUCAUAGACACAUGAAAGUUGUCAACCACCAAUUUUAACAUGUAAAUUUGUCAUUUAUUUUUUGACUGACACAUAGAAACAAUCCAGAUGAUCAUAGGGCAGCUAUGAUCUUAACAAAUAGAUACUUCUAAUCAUUCUGGCUAUUUUUAUAGAUUUCCAGGGAAUCUACUUUAUUUUUCAAGCAAGCCACAGAGAACAGAAAAGAGUUUCAGCCAUGUCUAGUGCUGCAACGUGGAACAUCUUUGUCUAUCCAACAGGUCCCAAGUUUAAUUAUAUCUCCAAACUAUAAGCAAGAUUAGGAAUUUGAAAAAUUCUUCACAGAUGUGUCAAGUUUGACUCAUCUAGAUUUAAUUAUCCUUCAUAUCCAACCACACUAAUGUCAGAGACAUGAAUCAACUACAGAAAAUGAUAGAUAUCUCAAAGAGCACUUUUAAUUUAGCAUUGCAAAUAGAAAAAUGUACCUUUAAACCCUGGGUAAGUGUUCUAUCACCAGGACCAUGAGUCUUAAGCCAUCCAUCUAGAGUAACAUCAUUUCCAAGUGCAUCUUUUGCAACGGUUCCACCUCCAGCACCACCUGAACUGUAACAUGUUCCACAAAACAUAAGUAUCCACGACAAAAUAACAAAAAUAGAAUAAGUGAGCUACGAAACUGAAUGAUUACUUAUUUUUGAGCAGUGAAAUAUGACACAACAUUUCCUUUCUCAACUUAUAGACGCUUAGCUCUCUCAGUUUCCAUAUGCGGCUAGUUACAUGCUGGACAAGAUCUAACUUAUAAACAAAGGAACAUUAAGCAAAAUGAUAAUAAAAGUAAACAAAAUUUAUCCAAUCUCUUCCCGGAAAAUCACUCAAAGCAUUUGGAACUUUAAGCUUUGGAGAAAAUAAAUUCCAACUCUUUGCAUUAUCUUCCUUUGGUAAGACUUAAUCUAAAUAAUUUUCAAUUUACUUUCAUGCUUAUUUGCAUACACUGUCCAUACAGACCAAAAAUCAACCCGGACGAAGAAAAGAAAUGGUUUCGAGAGAAUUAGACACGAUCUGCAGGCUCCAGGAUAAACAAGUUUACAACAGUGAAAGUUGAUAGGAACGUGCACUUACAGGGAAAAAUGCUGCAGAAUUUUCAAUGGUCGAACGAAUGCAUCUCGAGUGAUGAUGCAGAGCAAUUUUUAACACCUUUCACAUUCAGUAACUCAAAUUACAUGAAAAUAUCUGGGCUAAUUUCAAUCAAUUUUCAAUCAUCAACGCAAACAACGGAAGUAAGCAGGGUCCGUAAACAGUACUAACCAUGCCAAGAACAGAAAUGAGAAAAUGAACUAUGCUGCUGCUAAUUUCCAAGCGAAAGCAAACAAGGUGUACAAUGUUUACCCGGGUGGCACAAAGAAGUACGUAUAGGGAAUCAGCAUGCCCGCGGUGGGCAGCGACAAGGUUCCAAGAAGAAGAAGGUUCAACAGCUGCCUCUUUCCCAUGUCCGGCACCCUGUCGGCGGGGAU